rnacentral:rRNA from 1 species
GGAACGAACGCUGGCGGCAUGCCUAACACAUGCAAGUCGAACGCUCUUGGGAUUUCGGUCUCAAGGGAGUGGCGCACGGGUGAGUAGCGCGUGGGAACCUGCCCUGUUGUGGGGGAUAACCGAGGGAAACUUCGGCUAAUACCGCAUAAGCCGGCUGUCUUGCGAAAGAUGGCCGGGAAAGAUUUAUCGCGACAGGAGGGGCCCGCGUCGGAUUAGCUAGUUGGUGGGGUAACGGCCCACCAAGGCGGUGAUCCGUAGCUGGUCUGAGAGGAUAAUCAGCCACACUGGGACUGAGACACGGCCCAGACUCCUACGGGAGGCAGCAGUGGGGAAUAUUGGACAAUGGGCGCAAGCCUGAUCCAGCAAUGCCGCGUGAGUGAUGAAGGCCUUAGGGUUGUAAAGCUCUUUCGCCCGCGACGAUGAUGACGGUAGCGGGAGAAGAAGCCCGGCUAACUUCGUGCCAGCAGCCGC